rnacentral:rRNA from 1 species
GAUGAACGCUGGCGGCGUGCCUAAUACAUGCAAGUCGAGCGAACAGAUGAGGAGCUUGCUCCUCUGACGUUAGCGGCGGACGGGUGAGUAACACGUGGAUAACCUACCUAUAAGACUGGGAUAACUUCGGGAAACCGGAGCUAAUACCGUAUAAUAUAUUGAACCGCAUGGUUCAAUAGUGAAAGACGGUUUUGCUGUCACUUAUAGAUGGAUCCGCGCCGCAUUAGCUAGUUGGUAAGGUAACGGCUUACCAAGGCGACGAUGCGUAGCCGACCUGAGAGGGUGAUCGGCCACACUGGAACUGAGACACGGUCCAGACUACUACGGGAGGCAGCAGUAGGGAAUCUUCCGCAAUGGGCGAAAGCCUGACGGAGCAACGCCGCGUGAGUGAUGAAGGUCUUCGGAUCGUAAAACUGUGUUAUUAGGGAAGAACAAAUGUGUAAGUAACUAUGCACGUCUUGACGGUACCUAAUCAGAAAGCCACGGCUAACUACGUG